UUAUAGUGGGGGAUAGCCUUUCGAAAGGAAGAUUAAUACCGCAUAAGAUUGUAGUAUCGCAUGAUAUAGCAAUUAAAGGAGCAAUCCGCUAUAAGAUGGACCCGCGUCGCAUUAGCUAGUUGGUGAGGUAAUGGCUCACCAAGGCGACGAUGCGUAGCCGACCUGAGAGGGUGAUCGGCCACAUUGGGACUGAGACACGGCCCAGACUCCUACGGGAGGCAGCAUG
rnacentral:rRNA from 1 species